CAAUAGCGUAUAUUAACGUUGUUGCAGUUAAAAAGCUCGUAGUUGGAUUUCUGGAGGGAGCGUCGGCCCGUAUUUACGAGUGCGUGACGUCUCUGUCCAUCCUUGCGGGAAGGCACGGCAUUGAUUUGUUGUGUCGGAUCGCAUCAUUUACUGUGAAAAAAUUAGAGUGUUCAAAGCAGGCUUUCGCUUGAAUACAUUAGCAUGGAAUAAUAAGAUAGAACUUUGGUGCUAUUUUGUUGGUUGAGCCUAAAGUAAUGAUUAAUAGGGAUAGUUGGGGGCACCUGUAUUGCGUUGUCAGAGGUGAAAUUCUUGGAUUUACGCAAGACAAACAGCUGCGAAAGCGUCUGCCAAGGAUGUUUUCAUUAA
rnacentral:rRNA from 1 species